rnacentral:rRNA from 1 species
CAGUAGCCGCGGGAAUACGUAGGGUGCGAGCGUUAAUCGGAAUUACUGGGCGUAAAGCGUGCGCAGGCGGUUGUGUAAGACAGGUGUGAAAUCCCCGGGCUUAACCUGGGAACUGCGCUUGUGACUGCACAGCUAGAGUAUGGCAGAGGGGGGUGGAAUUCCACGUGUAGCAGUGAAAUGCGUAGAGAUGUGGAGGAACACCGAUGGCGAAGGCAGCCCCCUGGGCCAAUACUGACGCUCAUGCACGAAAGCGUGGGGAGCGAACAGGAUUAGAUACCCAGGUAGUCCCUGUCUCUUAUAC